GACGAACGCUGGCGGCGUGCUUAACACAUGCAAGUCGAACGGAAAGGCCCUGCUUGCAGGGUACUCGAGUGGCGAACGGGUGAGUAACACGUGGGUGAUCUGCCCUGCACUUCGGGAUAAGCCUGGGAAACUGGGUCUAAUACCGGAUAGGAGCCAUCUUUAGUGUGAUGGUUGGAAAGUUUUUUCGGUGUAGGAUGAGCUCGCGGCCUAUCAGCUUGUUGGUGGGGUAAUGGCCUACCAAGGCGGCGACGGGUAGCCGGCCUGAGAGGGUGUACGGCCACAUUGGGACUGAGAAACGGCCCAGACUCCUACGGGGGGCGGCAGUGGGGAAUAUUGCACAAUGGGCGCAAGCCGGAUGCAGCGACGCCGCGUGGGGGAGGACGGCCUUCGGGUUGUAAACUCCGUUCGCUAGGGACGAAGCUUUUUGUGACGGUACCUAGAUAAGAAGCACCGGCUAACUACGUG
rnacentral:rRNA from 1 species